rnacentral:rRNA from 1 species
UACGGAGGGUGCAAGCGUUAAUCGGAAUUACUGGGCGUAAAGCGUGCGCAGGUGGUUUUGUAAGUCUGUCGUGAAAGCCCCGGGCUCAACCUGGGAAUUGCGAUGGAGACUGCAAGGCUUGAAUCUGGCAGAGGGGGGUAGAAUUCCACGUGUAGCAGUGAAAUGCGUAGAGAUGUGGAGGAACACCGAUGGCGAAGGCAGCCCCCUGGGUCAAGAUUGACGCUCAUGCACGAAAGCGUGGGGAGCAAACAGG